AACAACAACGUAGUCUUUCAUUAGGGGGAAGGCUGAGGAAAGUACCAAACAGCAGCAGAGUUUUAAACUUUAAAUAGACAGGUCUCAGUGCCUGAACUGGCCAUUUCCUUUUACUUCAUCCUCCAAGGAGUUCAAUCACUUGGCGUGACUUCACUUCUUUUAAGCAAAAGAGUGGUGCCCAGGCAAC
rnacentral:other from 1 species